UUGUGUAUGGUCCAGAUAUCACCAAGCACCCAAGUAUAAAUAAGUCUUACAACUCCCUAACGGAAACUUAAUGACUCAACUUAAGUUGCAUACUGACUUAGGAUUUGGGCUGACUUAGUGAUUAAAACUUUGUGUGCUUUUGAAAUUUUUAGCACCUAUGCAUUUGAAAUUAGAUUUUAUAAAAUAAUAAAAUAAAUUCUUUCGACAGUAGUUUGUGGGUAUCUGAGCCGGAAACCCUCACAAGACAAAACUCGUCCACUAGGGCCACCUAGGGGUUUAAAGCCUUAUUGCAUACGGUAAAUGCAAUCGCGAUUCCUGCGAAAGUGAGUUAGUUUUUAUUUUGCUUGAGGACUAGCAAGAUGUAGGUUGGGGGGUGUGAUAAGUGCUAAAUAAUGCAUAAAUUCAUAUAUUAUUCAUAGCACUUAUCAUUAUUUUAAUUCA
rnacentral:lncRNA from 1 species